CCUACGGGUGGCAGCAGUGGGGAAUAUUGGUCAAUGGACGAGAGUCUGAACCAGCAAAGUAGCGUGAAGGAUGACGGCCCUCUGGGUUGUAAACUUCUUUUAUAGAGGAGUAAAACGAGGCACGUGUGCCUUUUUGCAUGUACUUUAUGAAUAAGGAUCGGCUAACUCCGUGCCAGCAGCCGCGGUAAUACGGAGGAUCCGAGCGUUAUCCGGAAUUAUUGGGUUUAAAGGGAGCGUAGAUGGGUUGUUAAGUCAGUUGUGAAAGUUUGCGGCUCAACCGUAAAAGUGCAAUUGAUACUGGCAGUCUUGAGUACAGGAGAGGUAGGCGGAAUUCGUGGUGUAGCGGUGAAAUGCUUAGAUAUCACGAAGAACCCCGAUUGCGAAGGCAGCUUACUAAACUGCCACUGACAUUGAUGCUCGAAAGUGUGGGGAUCAAACAGGAUUAGAUACCCCUGUAGUC
rnacentral:rRNA from 1 species